rnacentral:rRNA from 1 species
ACGGCUCAGUAACACGUGGUCAACAUACCCAGAGGACGUGGAUAACCUCGGGAAACUGAGGAUAAACCGCGAUAGGUCAUAAUAUCUGGAAUGAUUUAUGAUUUAAAUCUAUAUGGCCUCUGGAUUGGACUGCGGCCGAUCAGGCUGUUGGUGAGGUAAUGGCCCACCAAACCUGAAACCGGUACGGGCUCUGAGAGGAGAAGCCCGGAGAUGGGCACUGAGACAAGGGCCCAGGCCCUAUGGGGCGCAGCAGGCGCGAAAACUCUGCAAUAAGCGAAAGCUUGACAGGGUUAUUCUGAGUGAUUUCCGCUAAGGAAAUCUUUUGGCACCUCUAAAAAUGGUGCAGAAUAAGGGGUGGGCAAGCCUGGUGUCAGCCGCCGCGGUAAUACCAGCACCCCGAGUGGUCGGGACGAUUAUUGGGCCUAAAGCAUCCGUAGCCGGUUCUACAAGUCUUCCGUUAAAUCCACCUGCUUAACAGAUGGGCUGCGGAGGAUACUAUAGAGCUAGGAGGCGGGAGAGGCAAGCGGUACUUAGUGGGUAGGGGUAAAAUCCGUUGAUCCAUUGAAGACCACCAGUGGCGAAGGCGGCUUGCCAGAACGCACUCGACGGUGAGGGAUGAAAGCUGGGGGAGCAAACCGGAUUAGAUACCCGGGUAGUCCCAGCUGUAAACGAUGCAGACUCGGUGAUGAACAGGCUUCGUGCCUAUUCAGUGCCGCAGGGAAGCCGUUAAGUCUGCCGCCUGGGGAGUACGGUCGCAAGACUGAAACUUAAAGGAAUUGGCGGGGGAG